rnacentral:tRNA from 1 species
GCCCCUGUAGCUCAGCGGUAGAGCGUUCGCCUUGUAAGCGAAAGGUCACGAGUUCAAUCCUCGUCGGGGGCU